ACGAACGCUGGCGGCGUGCUUAACACAUGCAAGUCGAGCGGUAAGGCCCUUUCGGGGGUACACGAGCGGCGAACGGGUGAGUAACACGUGGGUGACCUGCCCUCAGCUCUGGGAUAAGCCUGGGAAACUGGGUCUAAUACUGGAUAUGACUCCACGGUGCAUGUCGUGGGGUGGAAAGCCUUGUGCGGCUGAGGAUGGGCCCGCGGCCUAUCAGCUUGUUGGUGGGGUGANGGCCUACCAAGGCGACGACGGGUAGCCGGCCUGAGAGGGCGACCGGCCACACUGGGACUGAGACACGGCCCAGACUCCUACGGGAGGCAGCAGUGGGGAAUCUUGCGCAAUGGGCGAAAGCCUGACGCAGCGACGCCGCGUGAGGGAUGACGGCCUCGGUGUAA
rnacentral:rRNA from 1 species